rnacentral:rRNA from 1 species
UACGUAGGUGGCAAGCGUUGUCCGGAAUUACUGGGCGUAAAGAGCGCGCAGGCGGCUGGUCAAGUCCGAUGUGAAAGCUUCCGGCUUAACUGGGAAAUUGCAUCGGAAACUGAUCGGCUUGAAGGUGGGAGAGGGUAGUGGAAUUCCCGGUGUAGUGGUGAAAUGCGUAGAUAUCUGGAGGAACACCGGUGGCGAAGGCGGCAUCCUGGACCGGCAUUGACGCUGAGGAGCGAAAGCCAGGGGAGCAAACGGG